rnacentral:lncRNA from 1 species
AGUGGGUUUUUUCUGUUUCAUUUAUUAUACGCAGAACUAAGAAUGUUUACAUCAUCGCCAGUUCAUUCGUCAGACUCUGACUAUUGGAAAAAGUUAGUUGUCUUUGAUUCAGAUGAAGAUCAGUGCAGUAAUGAGAGUGAAGUUUUUCUUCCAUUAUCCCUUGGUCCAUUAAACCA